rnacentral:lncRNA from 1 species
CCAAAAUAGAGUGACUUGUACCCUGAAAUUCUUGUGAAUAUUUCUAGUUGAUUUGGCACCAUAUUUUGGGACUUGAGAUAUGAUACAGAAUAAAAGAUUCUCCACCUGAGCAGUAGAUGCUAAUGGUAUUUUGAAGGUUUUCUUGUCCAUCACUUCCAUUGUUGGCAUGGCUAGGUCCUCCUCACAAAGAAGUCUAGUUCUAUUGAUGGGUAAAUUGGACCAUACAAGUUAGCUAUUUAUGGGACUCAUAGGCUUCAAAAGAACAUGAAUACACUAACUGAUCUCUUACCUAACCUUUGGAUUGUUGCCAUCAGAAUUUGAAAUGAUCUGUUAGGCCCU